UGGGGUAUCUCAUGUUUGGUCAAAGCAUAUUAUCUCAGAUAACUUUAAAUAUGCCGGACAAUUCAAUUGCUUCAAGAGUUGCAGUAUGGACCACUGUUAUCAACCCAUUCACGAAAUAUGCGUUGUUGAUGAAUCCCUUGGGAAGAAGCAUAGAGGAA